ensembl:lncRNA
CCUGGGUCGGGAAGUUCCCUGGAAAAGGAAAAUGCAACCCACUCCAGUACUCUUGCCUAGAAAAUCCCAUGGACAGAGGAGCCUGGUGUCCAUGGGAUUGCAAAGAGUCGGACACGACUGAGCUACUUCACAUUCUUUAGAGCUCUGAGCCCUGCCAUUUCUCUUUUGCUGUUUGUCAAGGGCUGCCAGUACGCUGGGGCAUUCCUGAGACCUCUUAGCAAGGUUCUGCUUUCCAAGGAUUCCCAUGGUACAUUCCAAGAAUCACAUGAUUUUUCUGUCAAUAGGUGUUCUGGGUUUGUUUUUUGGUGGUGGGGGUUAGCACAUCUGCCAAACUGCCCACCUGGUGGGCAGGUGGAGAUCUUAACGCACAGCUGAGAACAACUAAGCCACCCAUGAAGGAUGAG